rnacentral:rRNA from 1 species
CCUACGGGUGGCAGCAGUCGAGAAUCAUUCACAAUGGGGGAAACCCUGAUGGUGCGACGCCGCGUGGGGGAAUGAAGGUCUUCGUAUUGUAAACCUCUGUUAUGUGGGAGCAAAUUCUAAAGCUAGUCCCAAAAGAGGUAGAGACGGCUAACUCUGGGCCAGCACCCCCGGUCAUACAGAGGUCUCAAGCGUUGUACGGAAUCACUGGGCGUAAAGUGUUGGGAGGCUGGUUCGUGAAUCGUGUGGGAAAAGUGCGGGCUCAACGCCCGGACGGCAGAUGAAACUGGAAGACUAGAGUAGUAGAGGGGGAAGCGGAAUGCGCGGUGUAGCAGUGAAAUGCAUAGAUAGCGAGAAGAACACUGGUGGCGAAGGCAGGUUCCUGGACAUUAACUGACGCUGAGGCACGAAAGCCAGGGGAGCGAAAGGGAUUAGAUACCCGGGUAGUC